rnacentral:rRNA from 1 species
UUAGCUAGUUGGUGAGAUAAGAGCCCACCAAGGCGAUGAUGCGUAGCCGAUCUGAGAGGAUGACCGGCCACAUUGGGACUGAGACACGGCCCAGACUCCUACGGGAGGCAGCAGUAGGGAAUUUUCGGCAAUGGGGGGAACCCUGACCGAGCAACGCCGCGUGAACGAGGAAGGUCUUUGGAUCGCAGAGUUCUGUUGUAAGGGAAUAAACGAUUAUAGAGGGAAUGCUAUAAUUUUGACGGUACCUUACCAGAAAGCCACGGCUAACUACGUGCCAGCAGCCGCGGUAAUACGUAGGUGGCGAGCGUUAUCCGGAAUUAUUGGGCGUAAAGGGUGCGUAGGCGGCUUAAUAAGUUUGUGGUGAAAUCGUGGGGCUCAACUCCAUCAAGCCACAAAAACUGUAAAGCUAGAGGACAGUAGAGGCAAGUGGAAUUCCAUGUGUAGCGGUAAAAUGCGUAGAUAUAUGGAGGAACACCAGUGGCGAAGGCGGCUUGCUGGACUGUAACUGACGCUGAGGCACGAAAGCGUGGGGAGCAAAUAGGAUUAGAUACCCUAGUAGUCCACGCCGUAAACGAUGAAUACUAAGUGUUGGAGAAAUUCAGUGCUGCAGUUAAC